GUGCCAGCAGCCGCGGUAAUACGUAGGGGGCGAGCGUUGUCCGGAGUUACUGGGCGUAAAGGGCGCGCAGGCGGUCUGGUAAGUUUGGAGUGACAGUGCUCGGCUUAACUGAGCAAGGCCUUCGAAAACUGUCAGACUUGAGCACUCAAGAGGGACAUAGAAUUCCGGGUGGAGUGGUGAAAUGCGUAGAUAUCCGGAGGAAUACCAAAGGCGAAGGCAGUGUCCUGGGGAGUGUCUGACGCUCAGGCGCGAAAGCUAGGGGAGCGAACAGGAUUAGAUACCCUGGUAGUCC
rnacentral:rRNA from 1 species